AUGGCGUCUUCUUCAACUUCAUCCAUUCGCAAGAUCUUUAAGUAUGAUGUAUUUUUAAGUUUCAGGGGCGAAGACACUCGUACGAGCUUCGUUGACCAUCUUUAUCAUGCUCUCAAGCAAAAAAGCAUUCAUACUUACAAGGACGACGAAGAAAUCAAAAAAGGGGAAAACAUCACUGAUGAGCUCAUCGGAUCCAUUGAAGACUCCAAAUUCUACAUCAUUGUUUUCUCCAAGGGAUAUGCCUCUUCAUCUUGGUGCUUGAAUGAACUUGUUAAGAUAAUGGAGUGUCAGAAGACGAACGAGCAUACCGCUUACCCCGUUUUCUAUGAUGUGGAACCACAGGAAGUCCGGAAACAAGAGGGGGCAGUGGCUGACGCCUUUGACAUCCUUAAAAAUAAAGAGGCUGCUGGAAUAUGGAGAAAGGCUCUCAAAGAAGCGGCAGAUCUGGCUGGGUGGGAGUUGAAGAACACUGAUGACGGGCAUGAAGCUAAAUUCAUCCGAAAAAUAGUUGAGGUGGUUUCACUAGAGUUACGUUCCAUUAGUUUCAACAUUGAUGAAAAGCUAGUCGGAAUGGAGACCCGGAUCAAAGAUCUUGUACCAUCUUUAGGUAUUGGUUGUGACGAUGUGCGCAUGAUCGGGAUCAAGGGCAUGGGAGGUGGUGGAAAGACAACUUUAGCAAGAGCUGUUUUUGAUCACAUAUCCUUUCAUUUUGAAGGUACAAGCUUCGUUGAAAAUGUCAGGGAAAAAGAUUCUUUGUCCGGUUUAACGCAGUUACAAAAUCAAGUCCUUUCAGAUGUCUUAAAUGAUAAAGACAUCAAAGUAAGUGGUGUUUAUGAAGGGAAACACAUGAUGAAGAGGAGGAUGCCAAAUAGGAAGGGUCUUGUUGUUCUAGAUGAUGUUGAUCAUAUAAACCAACUUGAGGCGUUAGCAGGUGAUCCUAACUGGUUUAAGGCGGGAAGUGUAAUUAUCAUUACAACAAGAGAUGAGCAAGUGCUGGUAGCGCACCGAGUGAAGUUCAUUCAUGAUGUCAAUCUGCUAUCAUAUGAGGAGGCAAUUUGCCUCUUCAGUAGGUUUGCAUUUGGGAGAGAUAUUCCAAUUCAAGGGUAUGAAGAGCUAUCAAGACAAGUUGUACAUUACGCGGCUGGUCUUCCCUUGACGAUUAAGGUUUUGGGUUCGUUUCUUUGUGGAAAAGAUGAGCUUGAAUGGAUAGAUGCCCUAGAAAGACUAAAAACGAUUCCGGAAACACAAACUUUGAAAAAGUUGGAAAUAAGCUAUAUAUCUCUAGAGGAGGAUUACAAGGAAAUGUUUCUAGAUGUUGCAUGCUUCAUGAAAGAUUGGGGGAAAGAUGCUGCAAUCAAAGUGCUUGAAUGUUGUGGGUUUCAUGCUAGAAAUGGUUUAAGAGUUCUUCAACAAAAAUCUCUCAUAACUAUGUAUUAUGAUAUCCUAGACAUGCAUGACCAUAUUGAAGAAAUGGGCAGGAAUAUUGUUCGUCGUGGGCACCCGGAUGAGCCUCACAAUCAUAGCCGAUUGUGGGUUGAAGAUGAAAUUGGUGAGAUAUUAGCUAAUGAUUUGGGUACUAAAGCAACAAGGUGUAUACAAUUCCACUCUAUGAAAUUCAAUCCACAUAUUUUUAUAAAAGGCUUGAGAAAGAUGAAGGAACUUAGAUUUCUUUCUGUUGAUGGAUAUUCUUCCAGUGAUUUGGAGUUUAGUAUGGCCGGCUCAGACUUCCCAAAUGCUAUACGAUAUAUGGAUUGGUCCAAUUACCCUUUUAGUUCUUUACCCACAAUGUUUCAAGCAAAUAAUCUUGUUGCACUUAAAAUGUUUCGCAGCAGAAUUGUACAACUUUGGGAAGGUGGAGAAAGUAAGGUCUUUAACAAGCUCAGAUUUCUUGACCUCAGUUAUUCAAGGUUGAGUACCAUUGACCUUGGGCUUACUCCAAAUCUCGAGACGUUGACUCUUCAUUCUUGUCGUGAUUUGCUAGAACUUCAUAUGACUGCUGGAUGUUUAAAGCUCACCUCUGUCGACAUUCAAGGUUCAAGGUUGAGUGCCCUUGACCUUCGGCUGGCUCCAAAUCUUGAAAAGUUGCUUCUUUCUGAAUGCAACAAUUUGGAAAAACUUCACUUGCCCGGAAGAUGUCUAAAUCUAAUAGAAUUAACACUCACCGAUUCAAAAUUAAGGACCUUUGACCUUGGGAUGACUCCAAAUAUAGAGAAGUUAACUCUUCAAGAAUCUUGUUGUUUGAAAGAACUUCACAUGGCCAAUGAAUGUCAAAAGCUCACCAAACUCAAUAUUAGUCAUUCAAAAUUAAGGACCUUUGACCUUGGGAUGACUCCAAAUAUAGAGAAGUUAACUCUUCAAGAAUCUUGUUGUUUGAAAGAACUUCACAUGGCCAAUGAAUGUCAAAAGCUCACCAAACUCAAUAUUAGUCAUUCAAAAUUAAGGACCUUUGACCUUGGGAUGACUCCAAAUAUAGAGAAGUUAACUCUUCAAGAAUCUUGUUGUUUGAAAGAACUUCACAUGGCCAAUGAAUGUCAAAAGCUCACCAAACUCAAUCUUAGUCAUUCAAAAUUAAGGACCUUUGACCUUGGGAUGACUCCAAAUAUAGAGAAGUUAACUCUUCAAGAAUCUUGUUGUUUGAAAGAACUUCACAUGGCCAAUGAAUGUCAAAAGCUCACCAAACUCAAUAUUAGUCAUUCAAAAUUGAGGACCUUUGACCUUGGGAUGACUCCAAAUCUAGAUACGUUAAAUCUUCAAGAAUCUCGUUGUUUGGAAGAACUUCACAUGGCCAAUGAAUGUCAAAAGCUCACCAAACUCAAUAUUAGUCAUUCAAAAUUGAGGACCUUUGACCUUGGGAUGACUCCAAAUCUAGAUACGUUAAAUCUUCAAGAAUCUCGUUGUUUGGAAGAACUUCACAUGGCCAAUGAAUGUCAAAAGCUCACCAAACUCAAUAUUAGUCAUUCAAAAUUGAGGACCUUUGACCUUGGGAUGACUCCAAAUCUAGAUACGUUAAAUCUUCAAGAAUCUCGUUGUUUGGAAGAACUUCACAUGGCCAAUGAAUGUCAAAAGCUCACCAAACUCAAUAUUAGUCAUUCAAAAUUGAGGACCUUUGACCUUGGGAUGACUCCAAAUCUCAAGAAGCUAUCUCUCAAAGAGUGUCAUAAAUUGGUAGAACUUCGCACUCCCAUUGGAUGUCUAAACAAGCUUGUCCAUCUAGACUUAAGUGGUUGUUUGGGGUUUAGCUCUUUUUUGUUUUACAUAGUUGAUUAUACUUCUUGUAGUGUGGAUGAAUCACUUGAGGUUGGUCCUUCAGCUAAAUUAGAGCUGAUUGUGGAGACCUUAGAAAGAUGCCCGCUUCACCCCGACAAUAACUUGCCAAAGUUUCAGUUUGAGUGUCUUUAUAAAGAAGAUCGAACCUCAUUUCCUACAAAUCUUGAGAUGUUUCUUUCUGUAGGUAUGUGUGCUUGCACAAACCUUGAGACAUUUUCACAAAACAUUUGUGGGUUACGACGUUUAAGAAAGCUUGAACUCAAAGGCAGUUUUCUAGAGACAGUCAAGGAUCUUGACCAGUUAGAAUCUCUCGAGGAGCUAAUUUUGUCAUCUACAACAAUUAAACAUCUUCCAGAUAGCAUUUGUAUGUUGAAACAUUUGAAAUAUCUUGAACUUAUAGAUUGUCUGCUACUUGAGAGGUUACCUGAGGAUCUUGGCCGGUUAGAAUGUUUAGAGAAGCUAACUUUGCAAUCUACAACAAUUAAACAUCUUCCGGAUAGCAUUUGUAUGUUGAAACAUCUGCGAUAUCUCAGACUUGGAUUCUGUUGGCUUCUUGAAAAGUUACCUGAGGGUAUUGGCGAAUUAGAAAGUUUAAGGAUACUCACUUUGUCAUCUGCAAAGAUUAAGCAUCUACCCGAUAGCAUUUGUAUGUUGAAACAUCUGCAAUAUCUCAGACUUGAAUUCUGUUGGCUUCUUGAAAAGUUACCUGAAGGUAUUGGCGAAUUAGAAAGUUUAAGGAUGCUCACUUUGUCAUCCGCAAAGAUUAAGCAUCUACCCGAUAGCAUUUGUAUGUUGAAACGUUUAACUUUUCUCCAACUUGAUCAUUGUUUGUUGCUUGAAAAGUUACCCGAGGAACUUGGACGUUUAGAACAUUUACGAUACUUAGAAGUACGAGGUACAAGCAUAAUUCAUCUUCCACAGAGCAUUCUUUUGGUAAAAGGUCUGCGUAUCUUCGGGUCGAGGGAACUUCUUGAGUCGUGUGGGUUUACAUCGGAGAUACAAGGCCCACUAUAUGACUGCUAUGUACAGCUGUAGGAGCCUCCAGGGAUGAAUUUUUGAAGCUUUUUAACAGAAAAGAGAUGCUGAAAAAAUGGAUUAAGCCUACACUCAGAUACCGGUAGAAGAAGGGUUGAUUCCAAGUUCAAUAUCUUUGACUUUGUGUUGGGGAUUCCUGAUGAUUGAAGCAUUGUUACUAGUUGAAAUCAAUGUGAGACUUCUUCAAAAGAAGAAACACAUAGUGGACAAAGAGAAUGAGUUGGAAGUGAUCUCCAUUAGAACCAUAGCUCAAGAGAUAUUAGGUUGGGACUUUCCAAAAGUCAUUUGAACUGCAAGAUUUUGAUAAUAAAUUUGUUCCAUUCUUCAUUUAAUGGAACAAUCAAAUAUUGAUCCGUAGGUCUUGUUUGUAACUUUGUUUUUAGACUUAGAGCUAAAUGUUUUGUAUUUUGAAAUAUAAUUUUAGCUUACCACUCUGAUUUUUCAUGGAUCAAUCUAAACCGUAUCCUGAUUAACAAUAAGAUUGUAGUUUUGAAAAUUAUGAAUCGUCUCA